rnacentral:misc_RNA from 1 species
AAUAAGCAGAGAGAUACGAUGCAGCAAAGUACAUGUAUUAUAAAUCUUCGAGAAACACUAACAAUAAGCUCAUUAUCAAUCCCAUGCAUGCCCUUAUGUAACGAUUGAGAAAGUUUUAUCACCAAUUGCAAAAAGGAUCAGAAAAAAAAUGAGACUCAGCCAGAAUCGAAUUUACUACAGAAAAAAAUAUUCAUAUCCAAGGCUGCGUGUACCGUACGUGACCUUUGGAACUCAGAUUUCCACAUAACUGUGAAUAUAAUGAGCUUGAGCUUCUGUUCGAUAUAAAAAGCAGCGCUGCUAUUAUGCGACGCAAUUAAUAUUUUCGUGUCAAGUGAUGCACUCGACGAAAAUAUACGUACCUAUGUUGAAUGGACGCAGGUACACGUAUGCAGUGUUUACAUUCUUUCUCUCCGACGAAGAGUCAGAAGCUUCUGGAAUUCACGUCCAGUUGUGUGAUUAAAUUAUAAAUACAAAAAGUGCAUGUCGACAUCCGGCAUAUCGAUAGACGCGCUGAUAAGUGGAUCCAUAAUUGGCACAAAAGUUGACAGAACUUAACGUGUCAGUUAUUUGAUAACUCGUAUGUUGGGCAAUUAUUUGACCGCGCGUGCCUGAUGCUUUCCCAUUGGCCAGAAAUUAAUGGUCGCAAGUCUGCCACGAGACAACGUUGAUAUGUGCAAGUAAGUAGCUGUUCGUAAAGACGAUGUGCUCUGCGAGUGUGUAAUGCAUGUGUUAUUAUGUAUUUAUGUACAUAUAGUUACUUUGCAGCAGAUAUAUAUAUGACUUUGCGAAUCCAUUAACGCUCCAGUUUACGGUGAGACCCAAGACCGUAUGCACUAUACAUUUAACAGAGUAAGAAUAAUCCGAUAUCUAUCGAUAUUCGAAAUGGUUGUCGGAACGAACGAUGGAUCCCCAAACUUUGCGAAUCUUAACGAACUCGCAUCCGAAACUAACGGUGGUCAAAUUGUAUUUGCUACCGACGAUUGGUUCGCCUGUGCAGAAAAUCUUCUCAAGGAUACAGAACCGGUGUUCAAACCGGACCUCUAUACGGAUUUUGGAAAAUGGAUGGACGGCUGGGAGACGAGAAGAAGAAGAUGUCAAGGUCACGACUGGGCGGUCAUUGCUCUGAAGAAACCUUCUACAAUAAUGGGCGUCUGCGUUGACACGGCGUACUUUACGGGAAAUUAUGCCCCAAGGUUUUCUAUCCAGGCAGCUAAGCUCACGGAUGAAGAGGCAAAGCUGUUCCCAAAAAGAGAAUGCAAAAUUGGCACAGCAGCGGACAAAUCUCAGAUGGAACAAGUUCAGCGCAUCGACACUCAGAAGUGGGAGACUUUGGUGCCAAUGACGAAUCUCAGAGCUGGAUAUGAAGAAACACGUCUGAAUUAUUUUAACGUAUUUGAAACCGGCACCUGGACUCAUCUUCGAUUGAACAUGUUUCCCGACGGCGGAAUUGCCCGUCUGCGAGUCUUCGGCUUCGUCACUCCUGACUGGGAAGAAGUCAAUUCCGAUGAGCUAAUCGAUUUAAUGUCUGCCGAGAAUGGGACUGUCUGCGAAAGCUACAGCAACGCGCAUUACGGGCACCCCAGAAAUCUGAUCAAGACUGAGAGAGGAAUCAACAUGGGUGACGGCUGGGAAACCGCGAGAAGACUCGACAGACCACCCAUCCUAGAAGCCGACGAUUCCGGCGUUCUGCAGGUUCCCGGUAACGAAUGGGCAAUAUUCAGGCUUGGACACGUAGGUGAAAUUCACUCGAUCGAAGUGGACACGAAUUUUUUCAAGGGAAACUUUCCGGACAGUAUAAAAAUCGAAGGAGUUCUCGCAGACCCUAAUCAAGACUCUAGGAGGUGGUCUUGGAAGACGAUAAUGACGCCAAAGAAGCUAUCACCGCACAAACAACAUUUCUACAGUACCGACGACCUGCUAUCUUACGGACCCAUAACUCACGUCAAACUAACCAUGGCGCCGGAUGGUGGAAUAUCCAGGGUCAGAAUGCUUGGUCACAUUUCCCAUGUUUCAGAACUGCUGCGCUGAGAAACUUUUUAGAAACUCCCCCUGAUUUUAACUCUGCGACGCUCCUCAUAGAGUCCGUUAUUCAGUUUCCAAUUUCUAACGAACUUCCUAAUUGGCGUUUCCUAAUUUUAUGGGACCUGGACCAACAAGGAAGAUUCAUCAGUUCAGUUUCUGCAUGUUUCUCAAAGUCUCACGAGACGAAUGCCUAAGGAUUCAAAAGGCAUCGUAAAAAUAUUUUAUCCGUUGGCCUGCGCUACCAAAAGAACACCACUCGUUGUGCGGUUUUUAUUUUGGUACGUACUUGCAGUUCGUAAGCCUGUUUGGGUUAAGAAUGUCGUUAAAAUUAUUCAACUUUAGUGCUUAAUAUAAACGAACCUUGUCAAAUGAAUGUGAAAUAUACAGAUAGAGUUUUUUCCAAAAGAGGGUAAGAAAAUAAUAAUAACCGUAUGUACGUAUACGAAAGUUUACAUCGGUAAAAAUGAGAACGACUUAAAAUGGAAUACAAAUUCAUCGUUAUAAAAGUAGUAAGUGUGUAUAAAAAGAGUCGCUAAAUGAUUUCAAUCCAUGAUAUUGGGUAAACGAUCCAAAAUGAGUCGGAUAUAUAUUUAGGGAUAUCAGACAUCGAGGAUGUGCCAAAGUCCUCUACGAAUGUUCGACAUUUUUUUCGGUAUAUAUUUAACAUAUCUUACGAAUCUAAUUACGUUGCGCGUGAUGAAUUUUGAGACGCGCGUGUCGUCUUUGUACAUUAAAUAAAUAAGAACCAUGAAACGAUGCCAGUAA